UGAUCAAGAAUUCAAGUUCUAAAGGCUUCUUCUAUACUCUUUCUCUUUCUUUUUCUCUCCAAAGAAUUCAAAGAUUACAGACUCUUCUUUUUCUCUUCUUCCAUAUUUCUCUCCAAAAUAAUUCAACAACCUUAAUUUUUGAACACAGAUUAACACAUCUACACAAAAGCUAUCACUCUAUAGAUCUAGCCGGAAUUACUACUUAUUAAACUUGUAUUUAUAGAUAACCAUUAAAAGUUUUAAUUUAAUUUCUUUUUUUUGAAAUCGUAGAUUGAAGAAGGGAUGAAUCAGAAGAUCGUAGAUAUAUUUUGGUUAGUUCGAUCUUUCAGCAAGGGACAGUCGUCGGUCAAUCAGAAAUAUCAUACAGUGAUAUAUCGGAGAAAAAACUCAGUGGAAUUCCUCAUUUUGUUUUGAAGGAACAGAUGUUUUUUGUGCUGCAAUAAUUGGUUGUGGGAUUUAUUUUUAAUCCAUCUUAUAUUUAUGCCUUUGCAUACUUUCUGAGGUCUAUCUACUUAUAUCUUACAGCUAACAAGGUGGACGGUUUAGAGAAUGGGUCAAAAUGGGUUUAGGGUUAUGGUAUAUGUCAAAAAGUAUGCUACAUUGAUUUUUGGAGAUCUUCUUAAAAGUGUGUUAACAUGUUUAUUUAAUUUGUCUUUUUAGUUGGUUUAGUUGAACAGAAUUCAGUUGGAGAUCAUGUGGACAAGUCAGAUAAGGGCGAAGAUGGAUUCCGUAGCGUGCUUCUAAAUCAUAAGAAAAAGGUUUUCGUGGAAAAUAUAUCAUAAACAACAAUUGAUAAAACCAGGGCUCUAACUCACAAGCUACGACAAGUUAUCUAUGUAGCAGGAGUAGUAUUGCAGUUUCUUGGAUUCUGCAAUUCAGUCAGUUGUUGAUGGAGGAUGCUGGUGACCUGGUGUACAACAACGGAUAUGCCAGUGCUAUGGGGAGGCAAUGGAGAAGUCUGCUAUUUCGAAGAGCUGCAAGUUGUCGACUCAAUGGAAUUCACAUGACAAUUUGCAUCAAAAGAUUGAUCAAGGGACUUCCAUUGAACAAACCUUAUACGUAAUGGUCGCUCCGUGUGUGAACAGGUAAACCACAGACAUAUUGGAUGAUUGCUUGAUUGUAUGCAUGCUAGGAUGGACUUGGACUAUUUCUUGGAUCCGUGAUUCAUAGUUCCUGCUAAUGGGUUAUGCUUAGGAUCAUUUACCAUCUUUUGAACUAUUAUUUAACGCUUGAUGGGUGUGCUCCUUAUGCAUUAUUCUUGAUCCGGUACUUGUAUUUUGAAUGAUUUGAAUGGAUUGUCCAAUCCUUUUAAAUGCAUUUAGACUCGUCUCUACUUAAUUUCCAUGUCGUGCUAUGUUUAGUAUGUAACCCUCGUGUUACCGCCUUGACGGGGUGUUACGUAUAAGGCUAAGUAAAGACAUAAUUUACGCUUCAAUAAUCAAUUUCUGUACAAUAACUUGUCAGUAGAGAAAAUCAAAAACAAAUCAUUGCAA